ACCAUUCAGUUUGGUUUCGCUUUGCUUUCGAAAGGUUUUCAAUUUGGUUUCGUUUAACACUCCUCAGUCGGUUCGGUUUGGUUUCGUUUUGUGAAUUUCAGUUUGAUUUGAUCUAAUGAAAAUUUCAUAAAUAAGCUAAGUGAAAUCGGAAAGGCGAUGGCUAAAUACGCAAUCUCUUUAACCCAGCGAAAAGCGAUUUUCCCACGAAGCAUUUGUGCAAUAAUCACUUGUGUAUAAUAUGUUUCUAAAUACAUACGUAUGUCCAUUUGUAUGUGCUCAAAGUGUGUGCUCCAGUUUUUCUGAAUUCCAAAAUAGCAAAACAACACAGAUUCAUAACAUAUUUCAAUUGUGAAAAAUUCAUCAGCUAGUGUGCUAAAAAUAGCCUGUUGAAAUCUUUUUGGCUUCCAUAUUAAUUUUCAGAAUAACUUCACUCGCCGCGAAUCACAUACACUUCGGCCAUUCGUCCGACCACUUUUCGUCCAUAGCAUUCGGCAUUCGGUCAACGAGAGUUUGGCUAUUUUCGCAAGUGAACGUGUGUGUGUGUGAGCAGUUGGAGGAUCCCCAAAUGUGUUUUGACACACAAAUGAAAAUCUCAAAAGCUACAAGUGAAAAUGAUAAACAGUUUCUGAAACGAAAGUAAAGACUCUACGCAAAUGUACUAAUAAACAAGCAACAAAAACGAAAGAACAAUUGGAAAAAUAAUUUAUGAAGCGCAAACAUUUUGAAAAAUUCGUUUAGGUGUGAUUUUGUUUGUUCGCUGUGAUUUUCAUUUUUUUUUUAUUGAAUUUAUUUAAUCUUCUUUGAGUGGAGCUAAAGAGUACGCCGAAUUUGAGACGAUAUGAUGCGUAAAAAUUGAUUUAUGCAUCUGCCAUCGCUUUGAAUUAUGGAUUUAGCAGAUCAAAUCGAUGAUUAUAUUUGUUCAUUUGAAGGAAUUGGUGAUUUAACAAUGGACUCACUAGCAAUGUUCAUAUUUAUCUGGGCUGUAUUGGCCCUCUUCUUAGUAUGGCUGUGUAAAUUUUUAUAUAAUAAAUAUGUGGUAAACAACAACAAAACGCCGACAAGUCAGACCAACAGUCGGCAGAGCAGUGUAGCGCCCGGCGCCGCCGCUACAGCGAAAAAUGAAGCCAGCAAACGACUAUCCGAGCCGAGAGAAGUGAUGGCGAGCAAAGCAGAUUUCAAGGACUUAGCUGCCAAACCCGGUGGCGGUGGUGCACGCGGUCGCGCUCCAAGUGGCGGUGCUGGAGGUGCCGCUGGUGGUGCUGGCGCACGACGCCGCAUGGUGCGACAGGGGUCAACUGGACCAGAAAGCCGCAAGAAACGCUACGUGCCGCCACCGUCCAAUGUUGUUGGACCCGAAACAACUUCCGUUACUUGGACCAGUCAAGUGUUCCGUUGGCUUUACAGCGAUCUUGUGAUUGUCAACGAAUUGUUAACCUCUUGGGUUAUAGCCUUAAAUGAGACUCUGAAGAAAUCGAUGGAAGAGCAUGGCGUCGCAGUGGAGGUGGUGCGUGUACUGCCCGAUAGUCCACCACCCAGUUUGAACAAUAUAUUUUGCAACUGUGACGAAAUGAAUCCAUCUAAUAUGCUGAUCACCUUUGAUUGUGACGCACAGCCUGUGCUACAGGUGAAGACGCUCCGCCAGAAGGCCGGCAAGGUUGACACCUCACACUACAAAGUGACCGUCUCGCGCUUCCGUGCACGUAUGGCAACCGCCAUGAAUUACAACACACUCAAGGGCGAGAUGAAAGUGGAUGGCUAUCCUGAUAUCCGCGUUGCUAUGAAUAGUGUGGGCGCCAUCAAGCCAAUGGAUCAAGACGAGCAGCAGCUGCAAGGAGUCAUUAGUGAAAUAAUCACCGCCACUCUGCGAGACAGUGUGUAUCCAGUGGACUUUUCGGUCUAUGCAACCUGUCCCCGUGCCGAAGUCGAUCCGCUUGACAUGCCUGUAAUAUAUCCAGUCAAUUAUGAUGGGCUAGCGCAAAACAUGGAGGGUUCCAAUUUUUCAGCGCUGCAACCGAUGAUCUCUGGCCGUCGUUUGCUUGUAAAAAUCGUUAAAGGUGAGGGACUGGCCGACGCCAAAGACCCAUUCGUGGUGGUGGAGAUGGACGAACCUGCACAAAAGAAUCAAACUGGCGCUCGACAAGGAGCCACGCCCUAUUGGGAUGAACAUUUCCUAUUUGAAUUGUCUCCACAGUCAGCUGAGAUUUUAUUUGAAGUUUACGAUCGGCCCGAUAAAGGCGUUGAAGCGCCCAGAUUUCUCGGUUUGGGUUUGGUGGGCAUUGAUGAGUUGGCCGUCGGGCCGGCGUCCACACAAGUGCUGACACUGCAGCCGCGUCCGUAUGAGACGAGCCCGGUGAGUGGCACCAUCACUGUGGACUUUGUGUUCAUUGAGGGUGCAGAAAUACCCGCUGGACCCAAGCCGUACAAACUGAAAGAGGCGCUGAAGAUCAGCACGCCCAUCAUUAAUGAGCACAUGAAGAACGGCGCAGGUUUGGCUGAUGCGGCUGUGCGCGCCUUGCAAGAUGGCGCACUCUCUACAACAGGACAGCCCAGCAAGAGUACACUCAUUAUACACAGCGUCCAAAGGAACCAAAACAAUUCAAAUGCAUUUAAGGUUGAAAUUAACAAGGAGGGCAGAAUCGAAGUUAAAGAGUCACCACAAGAAGAACUUGACGGUGCUGUGACACAAAUUUUAGAAUCUCCAUUAAACGAUAAUACGAGCGAAUCGUUGCCCACCGCGAAUACGACAGCGGAUAUCGAGCAAAUCCAACAGGAGAUUUCGGUGGCGACGGAUAUAACCGCGAGUCCCACAGACUCGUGUCCACCAAACGAUGUGUCUCUAGAUGAAUCCGGUGUGGCAUCAGGUAACAGCAGCGCUUUGGUUGCAUCCAGCAGCGAGUUUGGCCAACCGAAUGCCGCCUCUUCACCACAGGGCCACAAUGGCUACUCACCAUACAAUGGCAACUCGACUUCAAACGGCUCACAGACUUAUGGAUACCAAAGUAACAGUCUGCCCCGCAAUGGUGGUGCGACUGGCACACCAUUAAGCGCCGCUGAUCUGGACGAGAGAGGACGGAGUAAGAAACGAAAUUUCUUUGGAACAUUAAAAAAACGUUUAAGUCGAUCCAAAACACGCACCCAUUCGGCUGAUCGUGGCGCUUUGACGCCGUCCCACAAUAAUAACGGUACCACCCCAACAGGAACACUUAACGGUGAUUCACGUUCAUUAUCUGUCGAUCGUGCUGUAUUGUCUAAAAGCAAUUCACUUGGCUUACGCGCUGGCUCAUCACGACUUGAUCACUCAAGGCAAUCUUCAAUUUCAGAAUCGUCCGCAAUCUCAGGUUUCUCGUCGGCCAGCAACAAAACGUACGUACACGAAGCAUCCACACUGGUGCUGGAGACGAUCGAGAAUGGUGUGAAGCGGCAUUUCAUUGUGCCGCUGGCAAUUGCACAAAGGCCCAGGUGGCGUCGCAAGGGCACAAAACUGCACAUCUAUAAUGACCACACCUUUAUCGCCAAACAUUUGAGCGGUGGCGGCCUGCAAUGUCAAGUCUGCAUGAAGUCCAUCCCGCGGCGACCGGGCAAACAGGGAUACGAAUGUCGGGACUGUAAUUUGAUCUGCCACAAACAAUGCCACAUACGCGCACCACAGGCGUGUCCGAAUCCUACAGUGCUUUCAAUGGAAUUGACCUCAUUUCCGGUACUCACAGAACAAGAUAUACUUUAGUCAACUUUAUAUUUGAAUUUCUAGUACUCAUAAGUUUUAUUGUCAUAAAAACUUUGAAUUUUUCAUUCAAUAUACUAUAUCGAUUAAAUGUUUUUAAUUUAUGCGAAAUACUCGGGAUUUUUUUUUACAAUAUAUUUUAAAAAUAUCGUACAUUUGUAUGAUUUUUUACAUAAACAAAAAAAAAAAAACAAAUAUCAAAGUUAGCAAUUUAAAUUUUGAGCGAAAUUGUUUCUAAACUUUCAACCCGCAUUGCUUUCGCAUUGAAAAAUAACUGUUUGCAAAUUUGUGCUUCAAACGUCGUUUUAAAUCCCGUUAUCUACAUUAAACAUAUUAAAGUCACUAAAUUCAUGCAUUUUUUAUUUAUUGUCAUACUGAUUCUGUAAUAUAGACUGAAUCACUCAUAUAAAGUCAAUAUACACGGAUUUCUUUAUAAAAGUUGCUUAAAAAUUUGCAAAUAAAUGCUUUUAAUAUGUAUAUCAUACGCUUAUCAUUUAACUGUAUAUAUAUUCCAAACUAAUGACAAAAUGCACUCCCACCAUGCUCUCUAUGAACACAGGAUGAUGACUUUUAAAGAAAUAGAUCUAACAACGCCGCCAAAUCCACGCUUCACUAACCAUUAUAUAAACCAAAACAAGUUUGAAAACAAUUUUGUAACCAAUAAAUUCACUGUUGUAAGCUUUAAACACGAGCUUUUCGUGCAAGAUCAAUUUGCAAUAUACUAUAAAUGCAUAGAUGUGAGUUUUUGAACUCGAAAAUUGUAUUCCGAAGCCACAAUAUUUAAAAAUCAUGCUGACAAUACACAGAAGUGAAUAAGGUACUAGAGAUUUCGGCAACUUGUUUGAUGAUCGAAACUUAAUUCUGCCGCUGCGGAUCGGAGUAUAAGGAAAUUAUGAAAGCGCAGAUAAUGCACAAACAUCCACAAUCAUCCAUGAUCUGUCACAACAGCCUCGGCGCAACGCAUCACAACAGCAGCGCAGAAAGGAAGGAAUAACUCAGAAUCAAACUUAGACGAAAAGGUUCCGAGUGACAAAAACAGCGCUUACAAAAGUUGAAUACUUCAUUUCGCUGUUAUUUUAUGUAGAGCUUCUAGUUGUUUUUGUUUUUAAGUAUAUUUCAAAUACUCGCACACUACAUAAUCGAUCAUUGCUUAAAACAUAAUUGGGUUGAAAAUGAAAAAUAUUUAUUUUUUGUUAUAUUUUUUAGUUCUUUGUGAAUUUGCUCUCACUUAUAUUGUGGUUGAUCAAGGAAAUUUUCACUAAUUUGUAUAUUUUCCAUGUUAAGAUGUUUCUUUAAGUUAUAGUCAUUAUAUUAAAUACAGUUGCAAUAUUUUAACUAAGUCUAUAUCAAAGGCUACAGUUUUUAUAUACAAUUAAAUUUCCCCUGCAUAUUAUGUAUAUAUGUAUAUGUAGUUAUAUUUUUUAUUUUUGUAUACUAUAAAAAUAGGAUUUUCGAAUGUUAUAAUCUUAUAAAUAUUUUAAUCUCUGUUUGUUUUAAACGUGCAAUAUUCUCUAUUUGUUUUAAGCAUAUAUUUCUUUUAAGAACUUCUUUUGUAAUUUUAAAGUUUUAAACUAUGUAACUAAAAACUUCAACUCACGAAAACUGUACACAUUACAAAUUAAACGAUCACAGUACGAAAACACAAAUAAAUGUUCAAAUAACGUAAUUCUUAAAACGAAAAACAGGAAAAAAAAUAAAAACUGGUGGAUUUUUAAACGAUACUACAAUACAA